rnacentral:rRNA from 1 species
GAUGAACGCUGGCGGCGUGCCUAAUACAUGCAAGUCGAGCGAAUGGAUUAAGAGCUUGCUCUUAUGAAGUUAGCGGCGGACGGGUGAGUAACACGUGGGUAACCUGCCCAUAAGACUGGGAUAACUCCGGGAAACCGGGGCUAAUACCGGAUAACAUUUUGAACCGCAUGGUUCGAAAUUGAAAGGCGGCUUCGGCUGUCACUUAUGGAUGGACCCGCGUCGCAUUAGCUAGUUGGUGAGGUAACGGCUCACCAAGGCAACGAUGCGUAGCCGACCUGAGAGGGUGAUCGGCCACACUGGGACUGAGACACGGCCCAGACGCCUGCGGGAGGCAGCAGUAGGGAAUCUUCCGCAAUGGCCGAAAGUCUGACGGAGCAACGCCGCGGGAGUGAGGAAGGCUUUCGGGUCGUAAAACUCUGUUGUUAGGGAAGAACAAGUGCUAGUUGAAUAAGCUGGCACCUUGACGGUACCUAACCAGAAAGCCACGGCUAACUACGUGCCAGCAGCCGCCGUAA